rnacentral:tRNA from 1 species
CGGGGUGUAGCAUAGUUGGCCAAAUGCGCCAGGCUGGGGGUCUGGAGACCGGCGGUUCAAAUCCGCCCACCCCGACCA